rnacentral:rRNA from 1 species
GAUUGAAGUCAGUCGUACCGACGAGAAAUCAACCUUUCGAGCAUGAUCUUGUGGGUGCGUAAGAGUCUUUAUAAGCCUUUGCGUUUACAAGUUUGUGUUUCUUUGGCGUAUUUUUUCGUAUGGUUGGUUAACAUCAAUUUUGGUAAUCAUAAAAUGAUUGGAGGAAUGUAGCUUCGAUUUUUUUCGUAGUGUUAUAGACUUCGGUAGAUAUGAUUAUUGAGAUUGAGGAUUGCAACGAAUACCUUUUAGGCUAUUCGCCUGAUCUCUGAUCGUUGCCUUGGUGCCGAAAGCGUGCUUACGGUUAUCGAGGUUNAU